AGCAGCCGCGGUAAUUCCAGCUCCAAUAGCGUAUAUUAAAGUUGUUGCAGUUAAAAAGCUCGUAGUUGAAUUUCGGGGUUAGUAGGUUGGUCAUGCCUCUGGUAUGUACUGGUCUCACUGAUUCCUCCUUCCUGAUGAACCUUAAUGCCAUUAAUUUGGUGUUUUGGGGAAUUUGGACUGUUACUUUGAAAAGAUUAGAGUGUUUAAAGCAAGCUAACGCUUGAAUACAUUAGCAUGGAAUAAUGAAAUAGGACGUUCGAUCCUAUUUUGUUGGUUUCUAGGAUUGACGUAAUGAUUAAUAGGGAUAGUUGGGGGCAUUAGUAUUCAAUUGUCAGAGGUGAAAUUCUUGGAUUUAUUGAAGACUAACUACUGCGAAAGCAUUUGCCAAGGAUGUUUUCAUUAAUCAAGAACGAAAGUUAGGGGAUCGAAGACGAUCAGAUACCGUCGUAGUCUUAACCAUAAACUAUGCCGACUAGGGAUCGGAUGAUGUUAAUUUUUAAUGACUCAUUCGGCG
rnacentral:misc_RNA from 1 species